GUGAGGAAUAUUGGUCAAUGGGCGAGAGCCUGAACCAGCCAAGUCGCGUGAAGGAUGAAGGUUUUAUGAAUUGUAAACUUCUUUUGCAGGGGAAUAAAGUACGGUACGUGUACCGUUUUGUAUGUACUCUGCGAAUAAGGAUCGGCUAACUCCGUGCCAGCAGCCGCGGUAAUACGGAGGAUCCAAGCGUUAUCCGGAUUUAUUGGGUUUAAAGGGUGCGCAGGCGGGUUGAUAAGUCAGCGGUGAAAGUUUGCGGAUUAACUGUAAAAUGGCCGUUGAAACUGUCGAUCUUGAGUGCAAAUGAGGUAAGCGGAAUGUGUUGUGUAGCGGUGAAAUGCUUAGAUAUAACACAGAACACCGAUUGCGAAGGCAGCUUACUGGGAUGCAACUGACGCUCAUGCACGAAAGCGUGGGGAUCAAACAGGAUUAGAAACCCUUGUAGUCC
rnacentral:rRNA from 1 species